rfam:Ornithorhynchus anatinus chromosome 4, whole genome shotgun sequence.
AGCAGUGUGGCUCAGUGGAAAGAGCACGGUGUUAGGAGUCAGGGGUCAUGGGUUCCAAUCCCAGCUCUGCCA